ACCGGCAGCUCAAGUGGUGGCCAUUUUUAUUGGGCCUAAAGCGUUCGUAGCCGGUUUGAUAAGUCUCUGGUGAAAUCCCGCAGCUUAACUGUGGGACUUGCUGGAGAUACUAUUAGACUUGAGGUCGGGAGAGGUUAGGGGUACUCCCAGGGUAGGGGUGAAAUCCUAUGAUCCUGGGAGGACUACCGGAGGCGAAGGCGCUCAACUGGAACGAACUUGACGGUGAGUAGCGAAGGUGAGGGUCGCGAACCG
rnacentral:rRNA from 1 species